UCAUGAAGCACAGGUGUGUCGAUCCCGGGUCUGCACCUCUCCCUUCUCCUGCCUUUUGACGUUUACAUUAAAAACAUUUCACGUGAUUAAACUAACAGAACACUAUCAAAAGUCCCUCUAAUGUUGGCCUAAAAUGAAGGUGCCAGAUGAGGAAUUAAUGAGCGACAUUUUGAAGCGUUUAACGGGCGAGUCUGCCCUCCCUGCGUACAGGAACAUAGAGAAGUUUAAGAGCGGAAGGGAAGGAGUUUACUUCGUGGCUGAGGACUUCAUCGAAACUGUGAAGAAACGAGAGCUGGUCAACGCCAAGGAACGACUGAGAAUAAGGAACUUGAACACCAUGUUCUCCCGCCUGAAGCGCAUGGUGCCACUGAUGCGACCAGACAGAAAGCCCAGUAAAGUGGACACACUCAAAGCUGCGACGGAAUACAUACGAUUACUCCUGGCAGUUCUGCAGGACACCGACGGUAACGCUGGCUGCGGGACUGAUUUCCUCAAGAAUGCAAUCACUUAUAGCCAGACUGAUGUCUUGGGAAGUGACCUAUGGCAAGUGGAAGAUGAGCAAAUGGAGGAUGGGUUCACCAUGCCCUCAGAACCAGUAACAGAGGACGGAGAUAUGACCAGACUGAUGCUGCAGCAUUGUGGGAUGCCUGGAUAUCAGUUCAUCAUCCAAAUAGCACCCGAUCAGACUUUGCGUAGCCGUCACAUCCGAGGCAUCAAACCGUCCACACAAGUACCUCGUCAUCUGAUUGGAGAAAUCAUGAUGAAGAGGAUAUGAUCAAGAUGUCUCAACCAUAGAGCAGAUGGCUUGGACACAUAUUGGACACCUGCCAGGGUGCAUACGAAGAAAGGAUUAUUCACGAAGAAAAUGUUAUUUUAUUUGUCAUAUUUAAUUUAACUUUUGAAGCUAUGGAUUUUGUUUGAGUAAAUAAGAAUAUGCUUUUAUUUUUAUUUUACAAAUUGUAUCCUUGGCAGCCCUAAAAUAAAAUGUACAAGACCG